CCCUCCCUCCGGGCCACUCCUCAAGGACCUACAAUGGUUCCCGGGCUUUCCGCGUCCUGACUCUUACCGGAUUGUUCCUGCAGGCAUCAGGCUCUAGCCCUCAGACACACCGUCUGCUUUGUGUCAUGGCACAGCUGGGACUGAACUGGGAGCUGUCAGGGCCUUGUCCUUGGCUGCAACUUCUUAGAAAAAUUGGAGCCAGAAGAGGCCCCACCCUUUCCUGUUGCAGGUGAAGAAACUGAGACUGGGAGACUUGUCCGGGGUCACUGGUGAGUCUGAGGCUAGAGGCAGUCGCGUCUGAAACCGCCAGCCAAUAAAAGCUGCGUUCCAAAGUCACCUCCGGGGAUGCUAUCUCAGCGUC